CAAUGCUGUCUUACUUUAGGAUUUCCAGACACAGAAAAAAUACCAUUAUUCCAGACAUGAAGGGCAGUGAUACAGUGUUUUUUAUUACAGGCUUCUAGGACUGCCAAGGCUGAUAUCAUCUGUGUCUGACAGAAGGAAUCUUCCAUGAUGAUCUGUCCUUCUGUGACAGAAGGAAUCUCCCUCUCUGAGGGAAUGUGAUGCUGUUAUAUUAGUCUGCUGGAGCUGCCAUAACAAAACACCUUCAACUGCGCGGCUUACACAACAGAAAUUCAUUGUCUCAUGAAUCUGGAGGAGAGAAGUUCAAGAUCAACGUUCUGUGGUUCAAAGUAUAGACCCCGCUAUCAGGAUGCCUGGACUCAAAUCCUAGCUCUGCUCCUUACUCUCUGGGUGACCACAAAGAGAGACACAACGAGAGAUGGAACACAAGCAGGGGGAGUGGAAGAGGGAGAAGCAGCCUUUCCGCCAAGCAGGGAGCCCAAUGCGGGGCUCGAUCCCAGCAUGGUCUGAG